rnacentral:snoRNA from 1 species
UUCUACAGGAGAAUCAUUUCUAUAGUAUUCGUCUCUCGCUUUGGUUCCCAAAAGAGCCAUCGAAUCCACCCUGGUUGAUGAUUGCAUAUCCUCAGCACCCAAGAGUGAAUACUUCCUGGUCCUCUCGCUCUGUCCGCAAGGAUGGCGGCGGUUGCCUUGCGCAGCUGCUGUAUAGAGAGUUGUCUCUUGAUGAUCUCGACCCUGUCUGUUGUUUGCCUUCGUAGCACGCGGGCAGGGUGGGUGUUGAUGGACGUCUGACAGGC